UUAUAUUUAAUCAAUGAUCCUCAAGAAUGUACAUUAGUCCUUUUAUCCAUUAAUAUUUAGUACAUACUAAGCCUUCUCACUAAAGCACAUUAUUAGUCAAUAUAAGCCUUUUGAUCCACAUUAUUAGUCAAUAUAAGCCUUUUGAUCCACAUUAUUAGUCAAUAAGCAUUUUGAUCAUGUCCAUGUUUAAGUUUUGAUGCAGGAUACAUCCAUCCAAGCAGGCCCAUCGAAGUGCG
rnacentral:lncRNA from 1 species